ensembl:lncRNA
CCUCCGCACCCGCAGGGGGUCGUCGUGUCAGCAGCGACCGGUGAGGACACUCGUAUUACUGUAGAAGAAACUGCAUGUUUUCAUAGCAACAGCAGCAUGGCUAAACGAGCAACAACAGCUGGACGCGGCGGGGAAAAAGACAAUGACGAAAACAAUAAGCACUCAUCUGAAUAAACUUUUCGAGCGGUUUAGCGACUACUUUCCCGAUAAACAACCCGAGGACGACUGGGUGCGCGACCCGUUUGGAAUAAACAUGGAAAGCAUCACGUUGCCUAGCAGCGAUGAAUGUCAGCUGGUGGAGCUAUCAUGUGACCGCACUCUCAGAAAGAAAUUCACAGAGGUUUCCCCACUUGCUGCCACAUCAUGGACCCCAGGAACAAGACAAGCUGGGGAGGAGUUUAUCAACUAUCAAGUCAUGCAGGUGUCUCUUCAAAGCCAAGAAGACCUUGACAUAGAGCACUUCUGGGCAGAAUUGGCAAACAGGAAACACAAGGGUGUACCCCACUCAAAUGCCAACGCCCAACGAGUGUUUUCACUGGUUGGACUAAACAAGACUCAGACCAGGAACAGCCUGGCUCUAGAGGGAACACUCUCCUCUAUUCUGACUAUUAAAAUGGCUACUUUGGAGCUGUGCCAUGAAUGCGAAACCACCCCAGAGAUCAUCAAGGCUUCAAAAAAGGCCACCAGGGAGGACAACAUGGCUCACAAGAAUUCCCUGUUCUAUUCCUCUUCCUGUUUACAGUUGUGCCAUUUAUUCUGAGUUUACAGUCUUUAUUAUUUAUUUUUGGGCCUAGUUAAUAAGUUAUUCACAAUGCUCCUGUGAGGUCCAGUCAGACCUGGUUUAGUCCUGGGCUUAGUCCAUGUCACCCUGUUCCUGUGAGGUCCAGUCAGACCUGGUUUAGUCCUGGGUUUAGUCCAUGUCACCCUGCUCCUGUGGGACAGACUUUAGUGUCUGAUUGUAAUUCUGUUCAGUGAAUGGAUAAUUUAAGUUAUGAAGAUAUGUUUUGUUUUUGCUUAAGCACUUUUUUAUUGUUUAGCUGGCUGAUGUGGUCAACUUGAAGCUGUUGAGUGUGUGCAUUAAAAU